rnacentral:lncRNA from 10 species
UUCGGGGGAGAGCCCAGCACUGGUCCCCGGAAAGGUGCCUAGAAGAACAAGGUGCAGGACCCCGUGCUGCCUCAACAGGAGGGUGGGGGAACAGCUCAACAAUGGCUGAUGGGCGCUCCUGGUGUUGAUAGAGAUGGAACUUGGACUUGGAGGCCUCUCCACGCUGUCCCACUGCCCCUGGCCUAGGCAGCAGGCUCCACUUGGUCUCUCCGCGCAGCCUGCCCUGUGGCCCACCCUGGCCGCUCUGGCUCUGCUGAGCAGCGUCGCAGAGGCCUCCCUGGGCUCCGCGCCCCGCAGCCCUGCCCCCCGCGAAGGCCCCCCGCCUGUCCUGGCGUCCCCCGCCGGCCACCUGCCGGGUAGGUGAGAGGGCGAGGGGGCGGGGCGGGGCUGGCCCGGGACACCGCGCGUGACUGGGUCUCAUUCCAGGGGGACGCACGGCCCGCUGGUGCAGUGGAAGAGCCCGGCGGCCGC